CCGCCGGGUUUGUGUCUCUCCUUUAUCCUUAGCUUGCUAAGGCUUUGAGGCUCAUGUCUAGUCUAUCCUGUCCCUGCUGAGACUCCACGGAUCCUUGAGUCUCCAUGCCUCGACACCCCUGUUCUGGACUGCAUCUCCCUGCAGAAGGCGCUGGGAAAGGCCCACCAGAGUCUGGCAGCUUCUCACCUCCUCCCCAGAGAGAUGAAAUCCCUAGACUUGGCAGGAACAGUGGGCAUAUUUGGAAGAACAGUCAUCAGCAGGGUGGGUCAAGGGGCUUUUGCCCUGAAAGGAGGAAGAUGCCCUUUAAUCAGAGCCUAUUACAUGCCUGGUCCAGUGGUGAACAAUUUGUUCUGAUUAAUUAAAAAAAAAAAAAAACUCACACUUGCAUAAGGGUAAAAAUUAUCACCCUAGGUUAUAGGUUAGGAAAUGAGAGUCUGACAUUCUCAGGGUGUUCUCAAAGCCAUUAUGGGCAGACCUAGGGCUGGAUGUUCCAGGUGACAGGGUCCUGUCCAGGCCUCUCCACAGAAACUGUUCUCUGGGAAACACUUGACUGUUAGCCCAGUAAGGUUUUCCACUGGCAGGGCUUUCCAGGAGAGGUGAAUAGGGUCAGAUCUUGAGUUCUUUCCAGACCCCAAGUUCUUGUGGUGCCAAAAAUACCAGAGAAAAGCAGGGCCUAAGACUAACUCUGGGACUCGGCAUCCCUUGGACAGCAGAGGCAGCCCAGGCUUCCCUCUAGAUCUCAGAGCAGCUAGGCAUAAGUGAGGGUUGACACUUGGUCAGGGGACCUCACGAUUCCUGUGACCAGCCUAAGGUCUUUAACACUAAGUGCAGUGGAAGUGUCUUCACCAGUACCCACCCCUCCCCCUC
rnacentral:lncRNA from 1 species